AGGGAGAACACCUUUAGGAAAAGGAGUUACCAUGGGGGUGAAGAUGUCCCUGGGGACUCCCUGUUUGCUUGUAUGACACCAUCCCACCCACUCGAAGUGGCUUUGGGACAGCUCCUGGGACCGCAUUGAUGGAUGCCUGGAAACACAACAGCCAUCAAAGAGGUAGAGGAAAGGAUGGGUAUGGACUUGAAGGAAGGAGUAAGCUGGGUAAGUGAGGGAGUAAGUAAGCUGAGAGGGCUGUGAGGGUGACCGAAGCGGGUGGGGGGGGACUGGAACAGGUGGCCUGACCACUCACUGACCCUCUGACUGCCAAGGGAAGGCAGCUCCCUAGAAUGGCCUGGGAUUUUGCUUUGUUCCCUUGCCCCCAAGAAAAGUAGGAGAGACAGGACAGUGGGCUCGUCCCUGGCCUGCCCUGGCCCUCUGGCCCAGAGCUGGGAAGCUGCCACAGAGCAUGGGAGGGCCUGGGAGGGGCUAGGACAAACAAGGAAAAAGGCUUUUCAGGAAAACUUGGUUCUGAAGUUGGCCUCCACCCCCUCUCACUCCUCACUCCUCCCUCCACCCCCUCUCCCUCCUCCCGCUGGAGGGAAAGCUGGGAGGCGAGCCACCAUGUCCAGCGCUGCUCUCUGCGCCCUUCCAGAUUCUCCAUCAGAGCCAGGGCCAGCACCCAGGGACCUGCCAGGGCUAGACUUAAAAUCAAGGACCUUGGCAUGACCUCUAGCUCCCCACCAGCCCCAGCACCCCCACGGGCACACUCCCUUUAGUUGCCCUGUUUGGCAACUAGGGCUCUGUUUGCUGCUGUGGUGGUGACCCUGUCCACCCCUUGUUCGACUAGCUGGUGUUUAUCCCUGUAGGGGGAGGGCCAGGGGUCAAGCCUCCCUCCCUGAGUUUACAGCCUGUGAGAGGGAGGAGGAAGCAGAGGCAGCAGAGCUGAAAUGCAGUCAGCCUAACUCUUGGCAAGAAGCUGGGUUGUUUUGCAGUCUGUGUGAGGUAUGAAGGCGGAGGCUGGGAGGAGGAGGCAGAGCAGGGGGGUUACUUCUGCUCCCUCCUUUCUCUGCACUUCUUAUGGGGCCCUUCCUUUUCUCCCUGACAAAGAAGUAACUUUGGGAUCUUCCUUCUAUGACUGGAGAGAAAGCUACAGAAUGAUAAAGAAGCAGGACUCUCCCUAGGCUCCAGAAGCUUCUAUCUAUUCACCCUGCUCCUUUCUCUGUCAGCAGCUGCUGGGAGAAUGGGAGAAGGACAGAGGCUCAGGGACCCAGAGCCACCAAAGGGAGGGAGAAAAGGGUGGGUUGUUUGGUCUUUGGGGACCUGGAGUAGAAUCUAGCUUUGGCCGCUCUUUGACCUCAACCUUGACCUUAAGACAACAGAUGCAUCUCAGCCCAGCCUCCCACCGCCCCCCCACCCGCAGCAGCUGGACAUUCCAGUUCUACACACACACACACACACACACACACUAUAUCCCCCAUAGCCAAAUUCAACCCAAGAAGGAAGUGGACCUUUAACAAACAGUGCUCAGAUUGGAAGCAUGGGGAACGGAUGCAUAUCUAAGACCCGGCCCAGCAAAGCACUACUCUGGUUCCAUGUUGCCUCCACUUCCACUCCAAUUCCUCAGAGGCUGGGAUUCUGGGAACUAGCCUCACCAUUUAUAGGCAGACUGGGAUCCUGUGUAUGUGUAUACAUUUCCAACUAUGUCUUUAAUUCUCUUGGGGAGGACAGCAGAGACCUAGGAAGGGAAGAGAGUGUAAGAGCUCUAAGCUCUGGCCAGAGUGUGUGUGUGUGAUCGUAUGACUGUGAGUGAGAGACUGCAUGUGUGAGUGUGUUAGUGUGAAUGUUAGGAGUGUGUGUGGCUGUGUGUGUUUCAUCCAAGAUGUAUUCUCCUUGUCAGUAGGUUGUUCUAGGUAACAGGGCAACACCCUGUGCAAAUCCUGGGUGGCCUAGAUUGUUGGCCGACUGCUUGACUGACUGACUGACUGGGGUGGGUCUUUGCUGGAAACCAGGUCAGGCUUCAGUAGGUGCCUUCCUUUCCCUCUUCUUUCUCACCAAGCGAACCAUGGCCCAGGGAAAUAACCUGCCUGCCCAGGUGAUGCUAACCUAGAUCAGAAGCCCUGGGUAUGCCCCAAACUCAGGGAAGCAGCCCUGUGCCUGGAAGAGACUCAUUCCCUGCCCUCCUAGAUUCUUUUCCUGUUGUCUAAAAAGCCAGCCAGCUUUCCCUAACCCAGCCAAAGCUUAGACCUCUUGGGGGAGAAUUUCAAGAGCAUGAAAGCAGGAGGGUCAAAGUCUGAGUUAAUUUGUUCUUAAGGAGAGAUGGAAAAAGGGAGGAUGAAGCAUGAUCCAGGGCUGGGUUCGAUGGAUGUGUUUUGCCUCAGUUUCUAUCUUGACCUCACUACUCCCUUUUCCAACGAAAGGAAAUAAUAAAUAUGUAUUAAGUACCAACUAUAUGCCAGGCACUGGGCUGUGUGUUACACAUGUUAUUUCACUGAAUAGCCACAAAAACCCUAUGCCAUGGGUCUUGUUCUUAUUUUAAAGAUAGGGAAUCUGAGACUUGGAGAUGUUUAUUAACUGGCCCAGGGUGCUCCAGAGACUAGGCGGUUUGUCUUGAAGCUGUAUUUGAAGGGAAGUGCUUAAGAUUGAGAGGAUGCCAUAUUCAAGAAUGGUGGAGUUUAUGGACAUUUUUGGAGGAGCUAAAGCUCCCCCAGCUAACUCUUGGAACUACCGCUAUCAAUGGCAGAAUGAAAAUGGCAAUGUUGGGAAUUCAACCCCAGGUCUGAGGAUAAAACUCUUUCCACUAGCAGGACUGCCCUUCCUGGAGAGAAUGAUCAUGCUAGAUGGAAUGUCUGAGCAACAGGCUCAUCCUGGUGUUUCCUAAGCAAUGAUGGGACUGGAAGUGAGAUGUGUCACCAAGAAGGGAAGCCUUGCUCCUGUCCCCACAAGUACCUUAGCUUCCCAGAACCUCCUACUUCAACCACAUUUCUUCUCUCUUAAACUUCUCCCUCUCUCCCUCCAACAUUCCCCUCUUCUGGUUAGGUAGAAGGGGGCCAGAAUCGGGUGCAAAAAAUAAAUAACUUCCACAAAGAUUGCUCAGAGGUGAGUAACUGAAGGAGGCCUCUGAACUCUUUUCUCUGCCUGACCCCCUGACUUUGGGAUCUGUAGCUGGUGAUGAAGGGAGAAGGGCACAUAGGUCUGAGCCCCUUAAGUUGCUUUCUUCUAGGGGAUGUAUCAAGAAUGGAUUGGUUGGGGGAGGGGAUUUAGCUCAGUGGUAAAAAUGUAUGCUUAGCAUGUGUGAGGUCCUGGGUUCAACUUCCUCCAAUAAAAAUAAAUAAAUACACAUUUUAAAAAGGAAUUGAUUGGUUCAAUGACAGUAUGGAAGGCCACCCCUAAGUUGUAUAAGUUGUAUAAAUAGCCCUAAGGAAACAAACAUCCUGCUUCCCCAUUUACCUGCUUGAGAGGUGUGCACUUCUAAAAACAGCCCCUUGAAAGCCACCCACCAUGGGUUGCUUCUUCAGCAGAUGCUUUGUGGAGGCCAAAGGAGGACUCCCCUCUCAGAGCUCAGAAUCCCAGAGAAAUCACAGGGUCAGGGAGGUGACAUGGACUGCCCUUGGCAGUGGGAGACUAAGCCUCAGGUUGCCCUCCUUCUGGCAUGGGGUUCCUCCUCCUGGGUUAGGGGGCAGUGGCAUCCAGCACAUGCUAUGCCAAGGCCAUCCUGUCCAACCUUUGCUGCUGGAGCCCGCUGGUAGUGUCACCUUCCAGAUCCCUACACCUACCCAGUGGCUGUCCUUGAGCCUCUGUAAGACAGAAACACAGGGGAAUGUGUAUGGGGAGUGUGUGUUUAGGGCAGGGAUCUGUGUGCCUGCCUCCAUCUCCACCCCUUACCCCAAGCUCUAGCUCAAACCCUCUUGUUGACCAGCAUCUCCCCACUCCUUGGGCCUCUGCAGGUCUCCAUGCAGCUGCCUGGGGAGGCCAGAGGCUCAUGACAGUCCUCGUGAGCAGGAUGGACCUUGGAGGAGCUGUGACCUGGGCAGGCAUUAGGGGCUGUGUGUAGCUUCUGGGAGGCUUACAUAAACAGUGGCUGGGAUGGGGAGGGAAAAAGGGAUGCAAGGGGCUGCCCAGGAAGCAAAAAGCGACUCCCGCCCCACCAGUGCCGUCUGAGUGGAAAGAAGAAACAAGGCUGAUUUUCCCUCCUCCCAUCCUUCUUCCCUGGUCCGCAGCUGUUAGUUGGGCUGGAAAGACUGCAGUAUCUUGGGGGAGGGGGGGCAGAGGAAGGAGAGAGAGAGGAUGCGACUUCACAAAUUUAGGAUCCCUCCCCUUUCUCUAAAUUGGGGGUGGGGGUGGGGCGAGCAAUUUGCCAAAGAGAUUUUCAAUGCCGCAGGAAGGAGCUUUGGCUCAUUAGAAUGCGCAGUUUGCACCCUGAAAAAAAAAAAAUCUGUGCUGGUUGCAAAACUGCAGACGUGUGUAGGGGCCCAGCAGAGAAUCAAAAAAAAAAAAAA